rnacentral:rRNA from 1 species
AACGAACGCUGGCGGCGCGCCUAACACAUGCAAGUCGAACGAGAAUCCGGGGCAACCCGGUAGUAAAGUGGCAAACGGGUGAGGAAUACAUGGGUAACCUACCCUUGAGAAGGGAAUAACCCGCCGAAAGGUGAGCUAAUACCCUAUACGCUAUCUUUUUUUCGAAAGGAUAGGAAAGCCGGGUCGAGGACCUGGUACUCAAGGAGGGGCUCAUGUCCUAUCAGCUUGUUGGUGGGGUAACGGCCUACCAAGGCUACGACGGGUAGCUGGUCUGAGAGGAUGAUCAGCCACACUGGCACUGAGAUACGGGCCAGACUCCUACGGGAGGCAGCAGUGAGGAAUAUUGCGCAAUGGGCGAAAGCCUGAUCCAGCAAUGCCGCGUGUGUGAAGAAGGCCUGAGGGUUGUAAAGCACUUUCAAUCGUGAAGAAAGUUGCAGGCUAAUACCCUGUGACCUUGACGUUAACGAUACAAGAAGCACCGGCUAACUCCGUGCCAGCAGCCGCGGU